GGGCCGGGUUCGGGCGCGGAUGACCGGCCGGGCUCGGGGUGCCCGGCCGGCGCGUCGGCGUCGCGGUUCAGUGUCCGCCCCCGACCUGC
rnacentral:tRNA from 1 species